CCUACGGGAGGCAGCAGUGGGGAAUCUUGUGCAAUGGACGAAAGUCUGACACAGCCACGCCGCGUGCGGGAAGAAGGCCUUCGGGUUGUAAACCGCUUUCAGCAGGAACGAAAAUGACGGUACCUGCAGAAGAAGAUGCGGCCAACUACGUGCCAGCAGCCGCGGUGAUACGUAGGCAUCAAGCGUUGUCCGGAUUUAUUGGGCGUAAAGAGCUCGUAGGCGGUUCAGCAAGUCGGGUGUGAAAACUCUGGGCUUAACCCAGAGCCUGCACUCGAAACUGCUGUGACUAGAGUUCGGUAGGGGAGCAGGGAAUUCCUAGUGUAGCGGUGAAAUGCGCAGAUAUUAGGAGGAACACCAAUGGCGAAGGCACUGCUCUGGGCCGAUACUGACGCUGAGGAGCGAGAGCGUGGGUAGCAAACAGGAUUAGAUACCCUGGUAGUCCACGCCGUAAACGAUGGGCACUAGGUGUGGGUCUCUAACCAACGAGAUCUGCGCCGUCGCUAACGCAUUAAGUGCCCCGCCUGGGGAGGUACGGUCGCGAGACGUUAAACGUUAAAGUUAAGUUAGUACGGCGUUGAGACGNGCCGACGGACGACGACGAGGGAGGAGG
rnacentral:rRNA from 1 species